AACGAACGCUGGCGGCGUGCCUAACACAUGCAAGUCGUGCGAGAAAGUUCCUUCGGGAGCGAGUAAAGCGGCGCACGGGUGAGUAACACGUAGGUAACCUGCCCCCCAGUCUGGAACAACUAGAGGAAACUCUAGCUAAUGCCGGAUGAGACCACGAUCCCUUCGGGGGUUGCGGCCAAAGAUGGCCUCUACUUGUAAGCUAUCGCUGAGGGAUGGGCCUGCGGGCCAUUAGCUUGUUGGUGAGGUAACGGCUCACCAAGGCUGUGAUGGCUAGCUGGUCUGAGAGGAUGACCAGCCACACUGGGACUGAGACACGGCCCAGACUCCUACGGGAGGCAGCAGUGGGGAAUAUUGCGCAAUGGGCGAAGCCUGACGCAGCGACGCCGCGUGGGUGAUGAA
rnacentral:rRNA from 1 species